AACGAAAUCAGCAAGGGGGAAGCCAUAGUUAGGGUUUUUAAACUUCCAAGCUCAAUAGUAAGUGAUUCCAAGCCCCGUUUUUAAUGUUCUUUACGUUUUUGGAGUCCCGGUAACUUAAUUUAGCUUAUUCUAUCAAUAAUUCGUGUUAGGGUUCAUAUUUGGAAAAAUACCCAUAGGUGAAAUGUGUUUACUUUGCUGUUUUAUGGUGGAAUAUGAAGCUAGAAAUUAUGUUAAACAACUUUUGCUAAGCGAUUUUAAACGAAAACGGGUAAAUUGACAUAAUCGGUAAAAAUAGUUAAUGUUCAAAAGUAUGUGUUAGAGUGAGAAUUUGAUGUUGCCAUAGAAGGGAAAAAUGUUCAGUAUGUCAUAAAACCUAAUAAUAAGUGAUGAAGUUUAAUUUCCGAGCUUAGGGACAAAAGUGUAAAUAUGUAAAAGUUUGGGGGCAAAAUUGUAAAUAUUCAAAAAGUUGGGUGGAGGAUUAUUUUAAUAAAUGUGAACAUUAAACGAGUUAAAUUUGCUAUUAUAGAUCAAGAGAGACGAGAAGAUUAUCUUAAACGAGGAAAAGAAAAGAUAGUGGAGUGAAUUGCAAAAUUACGAUAUUUUGCACCGAGGUAAGUAAACACGUGACUUAAUGUAUUAUUUUGGUAUUAUUUGAUAUGUGUUGAGAUUUAUUUGAAUAUAAAAUAAAUGUUUGACAAGAUUCCAAAAAUGUUGUUAAAUUGGGAAAGGUGGUAAGGAGUUGCAAAACACGAUUUUUGGUUGAACACUCGGAAUAGGCCGGAGCAUAUUGCAUAUAAAGGGGUUGCUGUGUGCUGAUUCCCCUAUUCAUUGGUGGUUGCUAAGUGCUGAUUCCACCGUAUUUUAAAUCUGAAAGGGGGUUGCUAAGUGCUGAUUCCCCGACCCAUUUGGUGGUUGCUAAGUGCUGAUUCCACCGCAUCUGAAAUGUGAAGGGGGUUGCUAAGUGCUGAUUCCCCCAAGGGGUUGCUGUGUGCUGAUUCCCCGAUUCAUUGGUGGUGCUAAGUGCGGAAUCCACCAACAACGGUUAACAUUCCGAGUGUUCAACGAGCAAAUUGAGAAGGUGAAUAUUCAUAUAUGUGAUGGACGAGUUUAUGGGAGGAAUAUCGGGUUUGAUACUUAAUCAACCCAUGUAUAAGAUGGGAGGAAAAAUAAAAAAUAAAAAAGAAACAAUUUGAAUGCAAAACUGUUUUGAAUGGCAGCAGUUGGGCAACUUUGAAAAAUCACCAUAAAUGGUGAAAAAUGAAUUGGAGGUUGAAUAAAAUAUGAAAUUGAAGCGGAAUGAGUCUAUUUUCAUAUGAAAGAAGUGGGGAAAGCAAAGGAAUUAUAUAUUUGGGGAUAUUUAAAUUUUACGGAGACAGGGUUGGAUUGAAUUCGAAAUCCCCUGUUCCAACUUUGGAAAAUCACCAAAAAUUAUAAAAAAAUAAUUAUGGCUUUAAAUUUAUAUGACUGGAUUCCUUUUUGAGUCUAUUUUUAAUAGAAACAAACGAGAACAUUUUUUGAAACUUGUAUAGAGAGUUAUGUGAAUUUUUGUAAGGGGAGGUCAGGACUGUUGGGUAGUGAAAUAGGGGAAACUUUAAUGAAUAAAAUGUACUAAUUUGCCUGACAAAAAAUUCUUAAAAUUUUAUGGUAGAAAUAUAUAUGAAUCUAGUUUCAGGGAAAAUUUACGGAAUUUGAUUUGGAGCCCUGUAGCUCCUGAUAAAAAUAAAUUAGUGACUAUGACGCAGAAAUACUGCUUGCUGGAAUUUGACCAAAUAAUGAAAUUUGUUUGUGAUAAAAGUUAUAUUUUGGUGUAAUCAUGUGGGAAAUUUAUCCACUUGUCAUAUGUUUACUUACUAAGCUAUAUGCUUACUUGCUUUUAUUUUUCCCUUGAUUAUAGUGAUAUCCAUCAACUUAGAAUUGGGACGGAGUCGGACAAUCAUCCACACUAUCAUCCGCGUUUGGGUAUUUUGCUACUGGUAUUCCGGAAAUUAUGGCAUGUAUAGACGACUUUAUGUAAUGUGGC
rnacentral:lncRNA from 1 species